UCGGGAGGAACUUCUUGAGGUGCUGGCACGGUAGGAAGGACUCCCCACUCGACGUGAUCGCCAUCAACGACACCGGCGGCGUCAAGCAAGCGGCCCACCUCCUUAAAUACGACUCCACCCUCGGCAUCUUCGACGCCGUCGUCAAACCCGUCGGCACCGACGCCAUCUCCGUCGACGGCAAGAUCAUCCAAGUCGUCUCCGACCGCAACCCCUCCAACCUCCCUUGGGGGUAAAAAAAAAAAUUAGAAGAGAGCUAUCUAUGCACAUUGCAUUAUAUAGUAACUUAAUUGUGUUUUACGAUAUUUUUUUUUUACGAUUUUGAAGGGAUAUGGGGAUUGAUCUUGUGAUCGAGGGUACCGGAGUGUUUGUGGAUAGAGACGGAGCCGGGAAGCAUAUUCAAGCCGGGGCGAAGAAGGUGCUCAUCACCGCUCCCGGCAAGGGCGACAUCCCCACGUACGUCGUCGGUGUCAACGCCGAUGCUUACACACACGCCGACGACAUCAUUAGCAACGCCUCCUGCACCACCAACUGUCUUGCCCCUUUCGUCAAAGUCCUCGACCAAAAAUUCGGUAUAAUUUGUUACUGAAAUGUUAAAUGUCGUUUUGAUUUUACUAGUAGUGUUUUGACUUUGAAUGUGUUCUGAUUUUGGCAAAAUUCAAAACACAUAAAUUGUAGUUCUUCGAGUUAGCUUUUCUAAUCCAACUUGAAUCAGCUAGACUGGAUAUCGGGUGAAACAAUUAUGCUUGAAUGAGUUACAUUGUGAAUUUUAGAUAAUUCAGAACAUUAAGUUGUUGACAGUGUUCAGUGAUUCAUGCAUGUGUUUCUCACACGACAUUCAGCCCUAGUGAUUCAAGUUGGAUUAAAAGGUUAAAAGUGAAAGAACUACGAAUUGCGUGUUUUGAGUCUUGCCGAAUUCAGACACGAAAAUGGUCAAAAUCAUCUUUGAAAUUGAAAUGGUAUAUUGAAACUCAAACGUCAUUUAUCAAAUCCCUAUUACUUAUUUUUCGAGUAGUAUAGUAUCGCGGGAUGAGACUAAUACAUUGAAUGUAUGUAUAUAUAUAGGGAUCAUUAAGGGAACCAUGACUACCACGCACUCGUACACCGGAGACCAGAGGCUCCUGGACGCCAGCCACCGCGACCUGAGGCGUGCUCGGGCGGCGGCACUCAACAUCGUGCCCAC
rnacentral:lncRNA from 1 species